GCCUGCGACCAUACCACGUAGAAUGCUCCCGAUCCCGUUCGAUCUCGAAAGAUAAGCUGCGUCGGGCUCGAUCAGUACUUGGACAUUGUCUGCA
rnacentral:rRNA from 1 species